rnacentral:sRNA from 1 species
CAUUGGGCGCGCGACACCUCCGAACCUCUGGUAUGUCAUUACAGCGGUGGAAAGACUCCUGGCUCCAAACUGAAGUGGGAGAUACCCAAGGGUCCCAGUGAUGGCUGAAGCAAUUGUUGGGAGCAGCCUCAAGAGAGGGAAGCAGGCUUCAUGUUAAAAAGCAAUUGUAUUCUGGCCUUAGGUUAGAUCAAAGCAGCCAUACCUGGACCUGCACCUGCAGUUCUGCUUGAACUCAAUAGAUAGAAUAAAUCUGGUUGUCAGGUCGCUUAGCACCAGUGGUCAGGUCACUAAACAACCCACUCUACUGUCCCCCCCACACCCACUGGCCGAUUUACCCAGCCAAUAUCCUGGUCAUCGAGCCAGACCCAUUCUUCUGUGGUUACCUAACCCCUCCCCAUAUCCUCCUUCUACCAGUCUAUCUUCUGCCUGAGAAAAAUUAAAAAUUGUCAGCUUAAUCAGACCUCUUGAUUUACUGUCUGUUCUUUGCCUCUCUUGUCCCCCAUUCUCUCCUAGGUGGACCCCAGACCCUGGUCGAAUGCCCUGCGGGACGGGGCAAGCAAUGACCUCAUGCAGACCUGGAAGACGGUAUGUUUUACAUGUAGAUUCAACAACUGCUUCUGCCAGUGGUGGGCAUACACGCCACAACAGAGUUCGAAAUGACAGCCAGAGGACUCCCAGGAACCCAAGCCACAGAGAAAAAGCUAAGAGAAUACCACGCAUGCCACCAGCCCUGCGGUCUCAGGAUAAGCCUGCCACACAUCAGCCUGUGAAGCCAUCUGGCAAGAGGAGCCUGAGACAGGCAGAGGGUUAGGGAAGAGGCAGACGUUGUAGGCGCUCCAGGGAUGGAGGAGAAGGGUGUCGCUCAGAGUGGGGAACUCCCAGGAAAUGGAGGUCAUCUGAUGUCCAGGCAAGUCUAAGGGCUGUGAAAAUAAGUCCAGGUGAGUAGCAUUCUGGUCCCACGUCCAUGGCUAUGACAGGAAGUAGACAGGAAGAGAACAGACCUCUACCAGCCAAGCUCAGCCAUAGCUGAAGGGGAGAUAUGUAAAGAAUCAGGUCAUACUUGGCCCUUGCUGAGGUGACCACCAAGCCUGGUGUGAAAUCUGCCCUUGUUCUUCUAGUCAUAUCCAGCCCCAGCCCCUCCAGAAUCACUCUGCUCUGCACACACACACACACACACACACACACACACACACACACACAAAGGCAUGUGCACUUAUGCACACAGGUCUAUGUACACAUAUGAGUCCAUGCACACAGAUAAAGAGGUGUGUGCUUGCAAAUACCUAAAUAUGCACUUAUUCAUAUACACACGCCAACAUAAUACACGUUCUUGGCCCCUGCCCCAGGGCCUUUGCACAAGAACUUCCAGCUUCCCCAUGACACCCCUCCAUGACUGUCAAUCUGUAAUUUUUAUGGUUCUGACUCCCCUGACUAUGCCCAACGACUUAGACUUUCUCCAAAGUUGUCACCUUCCAAAGAAUGCACUGUGACUGUUGUGCCCACAGCUAGGUGGCUGGAAUCUUUUAUUUACAUCUACAAUGGUGCCUGGCAUACAAUGGGUGCUCAAUGAAUAUUUACUGGAUGCUGUCUGGGACCAGGAGCCAUCAGCUAAUGCCACCCAUAGUCAGGAAUGCAGAGGAACUGUUGGCAAGCAGGGGCCUGGCUACCUCAACUGUCUCACACACGGGUCUGAGGACAAGCAACCAGGGCCAGCUCAGUCCUAGGACCGUGUCACCCUAAGAACACUAGGUGGGCCUUUGUGAGUGAAUGCUGGAAGUUCAUGGUCCCCAAAGGUCAUGUAUGAAUCAGUCUGAGGAUUUCAGGCCCCAGGAGCUCUCUGUGAGGACCCAACCGAGCCGAGUACAACCCCAUGAGAUGAUCAUUUGUGCUAGGAUUGGCUUUAAUCAGCAACACAUUAGAGGGGCUCAUGUGAUAACAGCUUAAUGACUGUUAUGGGGAUAAUCUAUUUUAUUCUCAGCUGGUUCCCGUGGUAAUUACAUUUCUGUUGUGUUUAAUUCAUAACUUGAUCAUUUAUUCCAAGUUGUGUUGGCCUUGGACUACAGGCUCUUGGGAACUUCCUCAGGAGGAGCUCAAACUGAGUGUUUCCUCUCUGCCUCUGCCUCUGCCUCAUCCCUUCCUCCUUCUUCCCUUCCUUUCCUGUCCCUCUCUCCCUCCUCUCUUUCAUGGAGGCAGUUGAGGUUGGCUAUCCCAGAUCAGGGCACAUCCUCUCCCAUGGCCGGGUGCUUCAUGUACACACUGCACCCUCUAAUCAUGCAAGGGUCUCAUAGCUCUUUAACUCAUGCCUCAGUUUCCCUACUUCCAGAAAAGGGUGAUACCAUGGCCUGGCUUCACCAAGGCCUCAUUCUAAUGAAUGCAAAUUUUAUUAAAUAACCAAAGACACCCUCAUCCUUGUUCCAUAGAGAGAGAAAUGACACAGAGUGGUCAGCGUAUGGUGGUCACACACGCCACCGGGUGAUGCCUCCCAGGCAUGUAGCUUCCCUCUUGGAGCCUCAGUCUUCCCAAACACCCUGUCUGUUGUGCUAGUGUAUCUUCAAUGCAGAUUGAGAGCAACCUGCUUCUAACAAACAUAGCCAGUCACCCUCAAAUCCCUUCAGGAUAGUCUCGGGUACCCCAGGUCCUCAGAUUGUCACUGAAGCCAAGGCCUCUGAUAUACACCUCCCACCUUGUCCCCAGACCCAACCCCAUUCUAGGAGAGCAGUUUAAUUCCAGGAGAGUGGUUGAGGAACCCUCAGUGAUUAACUGGCAGCAGCCCAACUACUGGGCAAUUACUACACCAGGAAGUCACUAAUUAGGAGUCUGAUUAGCCCCAGGUCCCUUCCUCACCCCAUGUCCAAGUGAAUUUUAGAUUGUAUCUCCUGACCGUUGUGAAGGAAACACAAUGAAAACAGUUGCUGUUAAUUUCUUACUCUCCCCAGAGGCCUCUUGGGCUCCUGCAGAGGGACCAAGGGACAAAGUGACAGAAAUGUCCUGGUCAUCUCCAGCCCUUUAAGAUGGUCUGAAAGGUGAAAGCCACACCCAAAAAUCCACGGAGGUUCAGAAGGCAAGACUGCCACCUAACUACUAUAGGGGCCUUGGUGAGUAGAGAGGACCCUGGCCAUCGACAUCCCAAAGACUCGUGUCCUUGCUGAUUGGAGGGCACCAGAGUUUAGAAGGCAAGGGAACACAAAGUAAGGAAAGACCAUGACUGUGGAGGAGCUAACCUGACGGAAGCUCUGUGUGAGAAGUCGAUAUGGAGGAAAGAGAGUUAAAGCAACACAGCCUCUGACUGACUUCACUCUACUCCACUCGUCUGCUUCCCUGCUAACCCUGACCUCACAUCGUCCGUGUGGAGGCCACAUCCCUCAGUUGCAUGGCUGUACACCUGUGCCCCGAAGGACAGCGCUUUGGAUUCCUGGCAGAACAGAUGGACUCCUUGGCUGAAUUGUGCCUGGGAUUGAGGUGAGAGGCUGCCACUGCCUUGGGCAGAUCUUGUCCUGCUACUAUGGUGGACUAUAUCUAUGAACCGUGAGCCCAAAUAAAUCUUC